UCCCGUUUAGCUCAGCUGGUAGAGCGCGUCACUAGUACUUGCAUAUCGCAUCCGCUAAUGACGAGGUCAGUCGUUCAAGUCGGCUAAUGGGAA